rfam:Microvirga sp. V5/3M plasmid unnamed2, complete sequence.
UGUUGCAGCCCUUCGGGGCGUUUCCUCCCUGAACUUGGCCGCUCUCCGGAGCGGCCCCUUUUGUCAAGCAG